GUCUAUGGCCAUGCUACCCUGAACAAGCCUGAUCCUGUCUGAUCUUGGAAGCUAAGCAGGGCUGGGCCUGGUUAGUACUUGGAUGGGAGAUCACCUAGAAAGACCAGGUGCUGUAGGCA
rnacentral:rRNA from 1 species